ensembl:lncRNA
GAGACAGGCUGGAGAAUAAACGAGGCGAGGAAGGAGUGGCUGUGAGCUGUUCUUUGUUGGCUCUGAAGGGAAGCAGAUGAGGGUUGCUGUGGGAGUGUGAGGGCUGAAGGCGCCAAUAGACAAAGCCAGCAGAGCAUAACUUGGCUCGUGAGAGGGCAGGUGAAUUAAGCUACAGUGGAUCCUGAAAGAGUAGAGGGGAGGGAUGCCAAGCUUAGCCUUGGCCAGCAAUCAGGAUCCCUUGUCUGCUGGGUCAGAAAGAAAAGAGGAAACAGUAAGGCAGAUGGCAGAUGGAGAUGGUUGGGUUUUGUUUUGUUUUGGGGGUGCUUUUUGGCCACGUGGCAGCUUGUGUAGUCCUAGUUCCCUGAGCAGGGAUUGAACCCAGGCCCUUGGUGUUAAGAGCGCAGAGUCCUAACCACUUUACUGCAAGCAUCAUUCAGCAACCCAAACAGAAAAGUGAAGAGUUUAAAUGCUCACAGCUGACAGUGUGUGGUCCCCGAGGCAAGUGCCUAAACCUAGAUGGAGACGAGGUUGAUGAAGUCUGUGGAAUCAAGGACCUGAGAGGCUGACCUGUUGAGAUUUAAAGGACUCCCCGUGGGUGCUGUGACUGGAAGAGAGUGGGAACAGAAAACCAAAGCGGAGGUUCUUGCUGUAAUCUAGGCCAGAGAUGACAGGAGUUGAGGCGGAGGAGCUGUAGGAGAGAUGCCUACUGAGGAGGAGACUGGACUCUUCUGCCUGGGGGCUCAAGAAGGCUGGAGCGGAGAGGGACAGGAGACCUGGAUAGUCUCGCCCACUCCCACUUGGGUCUCCGCGUGGAGCCGUGCCCUACCCCCGUCCUUUGAUCUCCCACUUCAAAGACGCUUGCCGAGGGGCGGCCGCUCCUUCCGCCGUUUUACGGCUCAGAAUGGUGACACCUGAGACCCUGCUCCUCCCCUUCCCCGGGCACCCAGCCCGCGCUCCCCCGCCCCCACCCCCACCCGGAGGUGGCAGCUCUGCGCGCCGGGGGCUCAGCGCCUCUGUCCCCGCCUCCCCUCCCUGCCAUGUACUGCGAUCCCCUCGGGGGUCUGGGGAGCAGAGUGACAGAGAAAGCGCCUAAAUAAAGAGCUCGUGUCAAGUGAUUGGCUGUGACCUCUGCCCUCCGUAGGCUCGGGCUCAAGGCUCCUGUUUAACCCUUCGACGCCCGCCCAAUUCUUAAAGAGGAAUGAGUCUCCCUACUCCAACUUUCAGCCCAUCAGGCACUACUGGAGCCCGAAACCUGGGUGGGGAGUCUCGGGCGGGGGGCGAGGGUGAACCCCCUCCCAGCGUC